rnacentral:rRNA from 1 species
UACGUAGGUGGCAAGCGUUGUCCGGAUUUACUGGGCGUAAAGAGCGCGCAGGCGGCCAAGUCAGUCGAAUGUGAAAGCCCCCGGCUCAACUGGGGAGGGUCAUUCGAUACUGCUCGGCUCGAAGACAGGAGAGGGAAGUGGAAUUCCCGGUGUAGUGGUGAAAUGCUUAGAUAUGACAUAGAACACCAAUUGCGAAGGCAGCUUACUACCCGAAUAUUGACACUGAGGCACGAAAGCGUGGGGAUCAAACAGG